AAGUCGUAACAAGGUUUCCGUAGGUGAACCUGCGGAAGGAUCAUUAACACGUAUCCAAACGUUAAAACCCCCCCCGUGAACCUUCAUCCUGCUCUUGUAACCCGCGUAGUUCGCAAUCUCUGAUAAAUCAUAGCCCGAAAAGUUGUAGUGAUUCAGAGACCUCUGGCUACGUGCUUACACUCGGGCAGGAGCUUUGCCAAAGGGUCCCCAUGCCCCCUAAUAACCCCACAGUUUAAUGUGAAGCUCAAUGUAAUACAUUGGGUAAAAAAACCGAACAACUGUUAACAAUGGAUAUCUUGGUUCUC
rnacentral:misc_RNA from 1 species